UUGUUGAUUUCAAAUGGCUUAAGUCCAAUUCCCCUCGAUGUGUCACAAAAAUAUUUCUUCCCAGGGGCUUGUUUUAGUAGCUACUUUAUACACAAAUGAUGAAGAGAUUUUUCUUUCAUCAAAUAUAAUAUUGACUAAGACGUCUCUAAGUCAAUUAAUCUCAUAUAUUUAUUAAUACAAGUCUAUAACAAUGGACUUGUUC
rnacentral:lncRNA from 1 species